rnacentral:rRNA from 1 species
ACUCAAAUGAAUAGACGGGGGCUCGCACAAGCGGUGGAGCAUGUGGUUUAAUUCGACGACAAGCGGGUCACCUCACCCAGGCUUGACAUCUAAGGAAAGCCUAUGAAAGUAGGCCGUGCCGCAAGGAACCUUAAGACAGGUGUUGCACGGUCGUCGUCAGCUCGUGUCGUGAGAUGUACGGUUAAGUCCGUAAACGAGCGAAACCCUCGCCCAGUGUUGUAUUUUUCACUGGGGACUGCCGGCGUUAAGCCGGAGGAAGGCGGGGAUGACGUCAGAUCAGCGUGGCCCUUACGCCUGGGGCUACACACGUGCUACAAUGCCAUAGACAAUGGGUCGCCAAGCUGCAAAGCGGAGCUAAUCCCACCAAAAUAUGGCCCAGUUCGGAUUGAAGUCUGCAACUCGACUUCAUGAAGCCGGAAUCGCUAGUAACCGCGUAUCAUAACGUCGCGGUGAAUACGUUCUCGAGCCUUGUACACACCGCCCGU